CUUUAAGUCCUAAAGUUGUCGAGUAUCUUGUUUGUGGUCAAAAUUGGCUUCGCAAAUCUUCCAAAUUUAGUGUUGAAGAAAUUCUUGAAGAUGUCCAAAAGAUAGAAGAAGAUUCAACAAAUUAAUCAAUCUCCAUUAUUUGUUGAAACUUGCUUGCACUUGGACAAUAUUGAAGACUUGUCAUGGAACUUCAUUUUGGAUUUAUUUUGAUGUAAUGUGUUGAAACUAUUGAAGACAUUUUGGUUGAUGUUUUUUAUUGUGGAAUGUUGAUUGCAUAUUUGUAUU